AUGAGCCAUGCAAUGAAGCUAUGGGAGAGAGUCAUUGAGCACCCUCUUAAGAAGAAUGACAAGCGUGACCAAAAAUCAGUUUGGUUUCAUGCUUGGGAGAUCGACCAUAGAAGCCAUUUUCUUGGUACGACAACUUAUGGAAAGCAAAAGAAGGACUUGCAUAUGGUGUUCAUUGACUUGGAGAAGGCCUAUGAUAAGAUACCGUGUAAUGUCAUGUGGUGGGCCUUGGAGAAACACAAAGUCCCAACAAAGUACAUUACCCUCAUCAAGGACAUGUACGAUAAUGUUGUGACAAGUGUUCGAACAAGUGAUGUCGACAUUGAUGACUUCCCGAUUAAGAUAGGACUGCAUCGGGGGUCAGCUUUGAGCCCUUAUCUUUUUGCCUUGGUGAUGGAUGAGGUCACAAGGGAUAUACAAGGAGAUAUCCUAUGGAGUAUGCUCUUUGUGGAUGAUGUGGUGCUAGUUGAUGAUGUGGUGCUAGUUGACGAUAGUCGGACGGGGUAA
rnacentral:rRNA from 1 species